GGGCCCGCACAAGCGGUGGAGCAUGUGGUUUAAUUCGAUGAUACGCGAGGAACCUUACCAGGGCUUAAAUGUAAGUUGCAUUAGUUAGAGAUAACUAUUUCUUCGGACCACUUACAAGGUGCUGCAUGGUUGUCGUCAGCUCGUGCCGUGAGGUGUCAGGUUAAGUCCUAUAACGAGCGCAACCCCUAUCGUUAGUUGCCAGCGGGUAAUGCCGGGAACUCUAGCGAAACUGCCGGUGCAAACCGUGAGGAAGGUGGGGAUGACGUCAAAUCAUCACGGCCCUUACGUCCUGGGCUACACACGUGCUACAAUGGUCGGUACAGAGAGCAGCCACUACGCGAGUAGGAGCGAAUCCUCAAAGCCGAUCACAGUUCGGAUCGGAGUCUGCAACUCGACUCCGUGAAGCUGGAAUC
rnacentral:rRNA from 1 species